rnacentral:lncRNA from 1 species
UUAAACCCGGAUCCAUACCGAGGUGUCUUUGGUUCUGAAGGAGAGAAGUAUGCCAACGAUGUCCAAGAACUUAUCCAGUUUGGAACUUCUGGCAACAUUGCUGGUUUCAUUUCUGAAGCUAUACAGGUAGUCACCAAUAUUCACCAUCGCCCUCAAUUUUGACUUCCUGCUAUCAAUUUUCCAUGAUUUCCGAGAGAAGACAACACUACCUAACAUUCCUUCUAUUUUUUCAUUGACAGGGAGUUGCUGGAAUUAUAGAAUUGGCCCCAGGUUACUUGCCUGUUGUUUAUAACACCAUAAAGAAAGCUGGAGGUCUUUGCAUUGCUGAUGAGGUCCAGGUUGGGUUUGCUCGCACAGGGAGCCAUUUCUGGGGAUUUGAAAAUCAGGGCGUUGUUCCUGACAUAGUGACAAUGGCAAAGGUUAAUUUUCUCUUUUUCUUGGUUAUAAAAAUGUACUAGCUACCUCCCUUUGCUCGAUAUGACAAUUGUCUUAUUGUGAUGGUAGCUUUUUCCCAAUCUUGGUUUCUUAUUCUGGAUUAUGGCCGGAGAUAGGAGAAUCUCAUGCCAACCGUUCUAUUUGUUUUAAAUUCAUAAGCAGUGGCGGAUAAACUAGUAGGCUAAACAAGUACAUUGUUGAAAAGAUACAAAGUCACAUGCCUUGCUAUUGUUAGCAUUUUGUAUAACAAAUUGAAUGAUGAUUGAGAUAAAAAUUAGAAUAAGUCACCAUUAUCUAUUUUCACUUCAACAGUUAAAGGUAAUUGUAUUAGUUUCAUACAAUACAGGUUAGCCUUGUCUUAGAAGCUGGCCUACAUAUAGCUAUAGAGUGCAUUGGAAAUAACAUACCUCCCCAUUUACUUCUUCCGUGUUAACAUGUUUCUUUAAUUACAUGGACAGGGCAUUGGAAAUGGCAUCCCUCUGGGUGCUGUGGUAACCACCCCUGAGAUUGCAGAGGUCUUGACCCGCAGAAGUUACUUCAAUACCUUUGGUGGGGGUCCUGUAUGUACUGCUGCAGGGUUAGCCGUCAUGAAUGUAAUCGAAAAAGAAAAGCUUCAGGAGAAUGCAUUUGUUGUGGGGUCCUAUUUGAAGGAGAGGCUAACUGCACUAAAAGAUAAAUAUGAUCGUAAGCUUAUCCUUUCUCCUGUUUAUUGAGCAUUAGACAUUCUCUUGCCCCUCCUUACUGAGAAAGAAAACCAACAGUAACUGGCAUUGCUGACUGUACCAUUUACGGAAAUCUGCAGUUAUUGGGGACGUGAGAGGAAGAGGAUUGAUGCUUGGAGUUGAAUUUGUCACUGAUCACAAGCUCAAGACUCCUGCAAAGCUUGAAACUCUUCAUAUAAUGGACCAGAUGAAAGGUUAGGAAUCUUCCAAUCCCCACAGGAAUCCUGCCACGGAUUAUACUUGCUUCAAGUUACUAAUAAACCGAUUUUCUUAUUGUAGAUAUUGGAGUGUUGGUUGGGAAAGGUGGAUUUUAUGGCAAUUUAUUUAGAAUUACCCCUCCUCUCUGCUUUAACAAGGAAGAUGCAGGUCAGUUGCUCCUCUUUGAUGAUUCUUAUAGCAAUUAGCUCCCUUGUGUUUGUAAUGCAUAUGAUUCCUGGUUGCAGAUUUCCUUGUAGAUGCGAUGGAUUACUCCAUGUCAAAGAUGUGAAGGCUCCAAAUUCAAAUGUGAAUAAAGAUAUCUCUAUGAUCAUUCACAAGUUGUUCUAAUCAGUGCUGUAAUCAGAACAUCCCCUAUUGUGAGUGAAAACUAUCAAUGCAGAUACAGAUUUCUUUCUUCAAUAAGUUAAACAGACAUUGCUAUGGUUUUGAAAAGCCAUGAGUCCACAACUGGUUGUCUCUUCAGUUGAUGAGUCAACAACUGGUUGUCUCUUUGUUCAAACUCUCUUUAGUUGAACUAGUUGCAAUAAGAGUAAAGUUUGGUGAGUUAAUUUUCCCUUCUCUCCCUCCCGUUUACUUAAAGAAACGGUUUGAAUUGCCCUCUCAUAAACACUCUUUUUCGCACGCCACAAAAAAUAUUCAAGCCACGGUUUCCACGUGAAACUUGAGUUGCUUGUUCCAUGUGUUUACUCAAGUAGACAAAUGAGUUGCUUGUUAAAUGCUCAACCAUUUUCUUCGGCAAAUACGGAUCCUAAACCUAAAAUACCAUGAAUAAUUUACAAAUAAAUUUAUAUUUUUCUUACAUAUUUAGUUAAUUAUUAAAAUAAUGUACUUAAAAAAUUAAUUGAAUUUAAAUUUAAAACUUAAGUCAGUUUAUUUAUAGAAUUACCUUUAAUAAAUAAUAUUUAAUAUUUUUUAAAAUUUUAAAUUUUAAUAUUUUAAAUUUCUUUUUUAUCUUUACAUUAUGAUUUUUUUUAUAAAAAAAUUAAUUGAGUUCCUUUAAAACUUAGUAGUUGUAAAUUGGACGCCACACGCAAAGAAAAAUGGUAAAUCUUAAAUAGAGUAAAAAUACUUUGAUAAAUUUUUUUUCUAAAUUUGAAUUCAAUUUUUUUAAUUCUUAAUUUACCAUUAAACCUUCUUGCCUUAUUAUAUACCUAACUGAAAAAGAUAUUAUAUAUCUAAACUCUCGUAAUCAUAAUCUUUAAGUGUCAAUUUUAAUGACAUCUCAACUCAUUCAAUAAAUAAUCGAUUGGAUCUGACAUUUUAAGUAAGAUAUACAUGUAUCUACCUCAAGUAAAAUGCUUUAAUACCUUAUUUAGAUUACUUAUAAUAUUAUCUAAUAAAAUUUUAUAUUUCUUUUCUAUUGCUCUUCAUUUAAUAUUCCAAAAAAGAAAGAAAUCAUAUGCACAUAUAAAAAAAAAAUCUAAUGGUUUAAGGGUUGUUUGUUUUUGUUUCCAUCUUUUAUUUUUUGUUUUUAUUUUAAGUUUUUUUUUAAAUUAAAAAUAAAAAUAUCUUUCAUAGAUUGUUUUUAUUUUUUAUUUUUGAAAACUAAAAAAAAAAAUUAAAAAAAAUUUUGAAAAUUGACAUUUUAAGUAAGAUAUACAUGCAUCUACCUCAAAUCAAAUGCUCUAAUACCUUAUUUAGAUUACUUAUAAUAUUAUCUAAUAACAUUUUAAGUAAGAUAUACAUGCAUGUACCUCAAGUCAAAUGCUCUAAUACCUUAUUUAGAUUACUUAUAAUAUUAUCUAAUAACAUUUUAAGUAAGAUAUACAUGCAUGUACCUCAAGUAAAAUGCUCUAAUACCUUAUUUAGAUUACUUAUAAUAUUAUCUAAUAAAAUUUUAUAUUUCUUUUCUAUUGCUCCUCAUUUAAUAUUGCAAAAAAGAAAGAAAUCAUAUGCACGAAAUAAAAAAAAAUCUAAUGGUUUAGGGGUUGUUUGUUUUUGUUUCCAUUUUUUGUUUUUUGUUUUUAUUUUAAGUUUUUUUAAAUUAAAAUUAAAAAUAUGUUUCGUAGAUUGUUUUUAUUUUUUAUUUUUGAAAACUGAGAACAAAAUUUUGAAAAAUUUUGAAAAUUGUUAAAAGCACAAAGAUGAUGUUUUCAAUUUUUUGAAAAUAAUUUGAUUCUGUUACCUCAUGAGUACUAUUCACAAAAAUUACAAUCAAAACUGCUAUGGUGAUGCUGCAAUUAUUAUAUUAAUAAAAUAAUAUUUUUAUUAUAUAAAUAAUAUAUUAAUAAAUAAAUAAUGCAUUAUAUAAUUAAUAUAAUAUAUGAUAUUAAUAAUAUAUUAUUUAUUAAUAUAUUAUAUUAGUAUUUAUAUAAUAUUAUUUAUUAAUAUAUUAUUUAUAAAUAAUAUUAUAAACAUAUAAAUAAAUAAAUAAUAUUAUAUUAAUAGAUAUUAUUAGAUAAUAUUAUUAUAUUAUUAAUCAAAAAUAGAGUCUAAAAACUUUAACCAUUUUCUCUUACAUAUUUUUAUUUUCACAUUUUUAAAUUUAAUAAAUUAAAAAUAAAACAAAAAUAAAACGAAACAAAAUUUUUAAAAAUAUAAAACACACAAUAAUAUCAAACAAUCCCUAAUAAUCAAAUCUUUCCCUAAUCACAUGGGUUAUACUUUAUUUUCAUUUUACUCUCAAUUUUUCUGUUUUUUUUUCCAUUUAGACAAUGGUAGUUUUAUUUCCAUGAAUGGUAUUUCUUUAUCAUGUACUUUUAUAUAAUUCUACUAUUUGGUUUUAAUUUUAUUAACAAAUGAACGACAAACAAUUUUAAGAUUAUUAUUAAAUUUAUUAAUCAAAAUUAUUUACAAAUAACUAUUUAAUAUAUCAUUGUGGUGGAGUUUUAUACUCUAUCAAUAGAAUUAGAGGAUUAGCAACGGAUAAUACAGUAAUACUUUAUUUGUCCCAUUUUCUCUCCCUAUUUGAAUUUCAUAUAAUCAAAAGAUUCUGUAUUUUAAUUUAAAAUUAAAAUUAAAAUUUUUUCGUAAAAUUGACGUACAAAGAUUUUUAAUGUUAAGAAAUAAAAAAAAAAUCUUGAAAAAUUUUUUUGAAAUAUCAGAAGUAAGAGAAUGUCAGCUCCUUUUAAUAUUCCGUACAAAAUGACUUUAAAAAAAUAAUUUUUAUAGUUUUAUUUAGCAAAAAUUUUAUUGAAUACAAAUUGAAACAAAAAAAUAAUAUUUUAAUUUUACUUAUAAAAUUAAAAAGGGUUAGUAUUAUAAGUGAACUUUAAAUUAUAAUGGAAUUCUUAAUAUAAUACUUAAAUUUUAAAAAUAUUUAAAUGAUAUUUAAAUAAUUAAUUUAUUAAUUAAUAUAAUAUUUAAAAAAUUAUUUAUUUUUAAUAUGUCAUCAUUUAAACCAAUUACGUUUAAAGUUGAUAUCAUAUUAAUUAAUAAAUUAAUAAUUUAAGUAUCAUAUUAAAAAUUUUAAAAUUGAAGUACCAUAUUAAAUAUUUUAUUAUAAUUUAAAAAUUAUUUAUAAUAUUAAUUUAAUUUAAAACUACAUAAAUAAUAAAAUAAUAAUUUAUAUAAAAUAUAUUAAAAUCUUAACUAAGAAAGGAAGGUAAAAAAUUGUUGAAAGGUGGAAAUUUUGUUUAUUUUUUAAUGUAAAAAAUUUAUGAGCUUUCCAUUUUCUAUUUUUGGUAAAAACAGAGGACACUUGUCAAGUUGUCUAAUAAAUUUCCAAAAAUUAUGAGACCAUGAAAAUUAGAUAUGUCGUGGCACUGCUUCAUUGGACAGCUAAUUUUAAUCCAUCUAAGAAGUCAAAAGUGUAAUUUUAAAGAUAAAGAGGGGCAGUUUUAACCUCUUCCUCGACCCAAACAAACUAACAACUCAAGUACACGUCAACAAGGAGUCUCUUGCCUAUAUUAAUUUUCCCUCCUCGGUCGUUUCUUCCAAACACCAACUCCUCUGUCUGCUUUAAAAUUGCCUCUUUCCUUACAGCAUUAAAUCCUCCAAACACAGUCCUACAUUUUCGGAACUGUUUUUUUUUUUUUUAGCUUAGCGGCGGAGAUGAAGAUGCAGAGAUUUAUUCCGGUGAGCAGUGUCUUGUUGGAAACUAAAUAUUCUCUGCGAUGGUGGCAACGACAAAACCGCUGCUUCUCUCAGGUGACUCGAAACGAGGUUGAUGACAAAGGUGGAGUUGUUGUUCCAAAAAUGCCCCCCUUUGAUUACUUUCCGCCUCCUUACACCGGUCCUCCCGCCGCUGACAUCCUCGCCAAAUACAAGGAGUAUCUCAGGCCCUCCAUGUUUUACUUUUACAGCUAUCCUGUGAGUUUUUAUUCUUUGUAACACUCGAUCCAUGGAGUUCUGAGAUACACAACGAAAAAUCAAAUAAAAUUAAAAAAAAAACUUUAAUAUGUGUUACUAAGAAUCAAAAAAGUGAUACUUUUGAUUUUUACAACGUGUUUUUUUUUUUCAUGCAAGUCAUAUUAUUUUUAUUGUAAUUAAAAAUAAUGAAUAUUUGGGUUAUUUUUUCCAGCUGAACGUAGUGGGUGGAAGGAUGCAGUAUUUGUUCGAUGACAAGGGAAGAAGAUACCUAGACGCAUUUGGAGGGAUUGCUACGGUAAGUUGCGGCCAUUGUCAUCCUGAAGUGGUCGACGCAAUAGUCAACCAAACCAAGCGCUUGCAGCACUCCACUGUCCUCUACUUCAACCAUACCAUCACUGAUUUCGCUGAGGCCAUUGCCAACAAGUUGCCCGGCAAUCUCAAGGUCAUUACUCUGCUCGUUUAACUAUCACAUCAUCAAUGGUUUCCAUGGCUCUUUUGUUGUAUUACGAAUAUACCCUUGUUUUUGCUUUGAACAUUAAUCAACAUACAAGUGAAAAUAUGAAUACCUCAUUGUUUCUUUUUUCAUUAUUCAUCAAUUAUAGUUGAUAGAUUUGCUUGCAAGUUGGAUUUUUCAGUUUUGUUUGUUCUUUUUUGCAUCUUAAAUUUGGGUUUCUGUUUUUGUGGCUGUGCAGGUGGUGUUCUUUACAAAUUCAGGGACAGAAGCGAACGAGUUGGCGCUGAUGAUGGCAAGAUUAUAUACUGGAUGCCAUGACAUAAUAUCAUUGAGGAACGCGUAUCACGGGAAUGCAGCAGGGACCAUGGGAGUCACUGGCCAAAGUAACUGGAAGUUCAAUGUUAUACAGGUAUGAUGCACAUUUUUAUUUCAUAUUCCUGAAAUUUGAUGCUGUUAUUUGUUCCUUGGAUAUCAUUUAAAUUUACUUCCAAUGUUUACUUACCAUAGAAAACUUUGUCCAUCAUAGGUAUCAUGUUUUGAGGAGAUCAUUUAUCAGAGUGCCUAAAAUGCUAAAUAUAUGCAAGCAUUAGUUCCUUUUAUCACAUGGACCACGUUUGUUUUCUCUUACACCGUGGUCCAUAAAUUUUGACAAGGAGUAGCUAGCGAACCAUGCACGUGUUAGAACGUGCACAUAUAUGUUCUUGUGUUUUGAUGAUAUGCAAAGUACAUACAACUAAAAUCAAAUCAACCUAAUUCUCUAAGCAUGCCCAAGCUAGUCCUUAUACGUGUUCAAUGCCUAUAACCAGACGUUAUUGCAACCAUAUGCCUUAUUCAAUCUGAUGGAUAAACCAUACAUUGGGCUUAUGUGCUUAUCAUAUAUUUUAGAAACAUGCCUUUUAUCAUUUGAAAUAUACAAAGUUUUGGUAUUAUAAAAUUAAACUUAACAUUUCUGCAUAAGUAUAGCUAACUCAUAAGUAUGUUCAUCAGAGUGGAGUUCAUCAUGCCUUAAACCCAGAUCCAUACCGAGGUGUCUUUGGUUCUGAAGGAGAGAAGUAUGCAAAAGAUGUCCAAGAACUUAUCCAGUUUGGAACUUCUGGCAACAUUGCUGGUUUCAUUUCUGAAGCUAUACAGGUAGUCACCAAUAUUCAGCAUCACCUUCAAUUUUGACUUCCUUCUAUCAACUUUCCAAGAUUUCCUAGUGAAGACAACAUUACCUAACAUUCCUUCUAUUUUUUCAUUGACAGGGAGCUGCUGGAAUUAUAGAAUUGGCCCCAGGUUACUUGCCUGUUGUUUAUAACACCAUAAAGAAAGCUGGAGGUCUUUGCAUUGCUGAUGAGGUCCAGGUUGGGUUUGCUCGCACAGGGAGCCAUUUCUGGGGAUUUGAAAAUCAGGGCGUUGUUCCUGACAUAGUGACAAUGGCAAAGGUUAAUUUUCUCAUUUUAUUGGUUAUAAAAAUGUACUAGCUACCUCCCUUUGCUAGAUAUGACAAUUAUCUUACUGUGCUGGUAGUUUUUUUCCCAUCUUGAUUUCUUAUUCUGGAUUGUGGCCAGGGAACGGAGAAUCUCAUGCCAACCGUUCUAUUUGUUUUAAAUUUAUAAGCGGUGGCAGAUAAACUAGUAGACAAAACAAGUACAUUGUAGAAAAGAUACAAAGUCACAUGCCUUGCUAUUGUUAACAUUUUGUAAAACAAAUUGAAUGAUGAUUGAGAUCAAAAUUAGAAAAAGUCACCAUCAUCCAUUAGCACUUCAACAGUUAGAGUAAAGGUAAUUGUAUUAGUUUCAUACAAUACAGGUUAGCCUUAUUUUAGAAGCUGGCCUACAUAUAGCUAUAGAGUGCAUUGGAAAUGACAUACCUCCCCAUUUACUUCUUGCGUGUUAACAUGUUUCUUUAAUUACAUGGACAGGGCAUUGGAAAUGGCAUCCCUCUGGGUGCUGUGGUAACCACCCCUGAGAUUGCAGAGGUCUUGACCUGCAAAAGUUACUUCAAUACCUUUGGUGGGGGUCCUGUAUGUACUGCUGCAGGGUUAGCCGUCCUGAAUGUAAUCGAAAAGGAAAAGCUUCAGGAGAAUGCAUUUGUUGUAGGGUCCUAUUUGAAGGAAAGGCUAACUGCACUA